GCUCAGAUUGAACGCUGGCGGCAGGCCUAACACAUGCAAGUCGAACGGUAACAGGAAGCAGCUUGCUGCUUUGCUGACGAGUGGCGGACGGGUGAGUAAUGUCUGGGAAACUGCCUGAUGGAGGGGGAUAACUACUGGAAACGGUGGCUAAUACCGCAUAACGUCGCAAGACCAAAGAGGGGGACCUUCGGGCCUCUUGCCAUCAGAUGUGCCCAGAUGGGAUUAGCUUGUUGGUGAGGUAACGGCUCACCAAGGCGACGAUCCCUAGCUGGUCUGAGAGGAUGACCAGCCACACUGGAACUGAGACACGGUCCAGACUCCUACGGGAGGCAGCAGUGGGGAAUAUUGCACAAUGGGCGCAAGCCUGAUGCAGCCAUGCCGCGUGUAUGAAGAAGGCCUUCGGGUUGUAAAGUACUUUCAGCGGGGAGGAAGGUGUUGUGGUUAAUAACCGCAGCAAUUGACGUUACCCGCAGAAGAAGCACCGGCUAACUCCGUGCCAGCAGCCGCGGUAAUACGGAGGGUGCAAGCGUUAAUCGGAAUUACUGGGCGUAAAGCGCACGCAGGCGGUCUGUCAAGUCGGAUGUGAAAUCCCCGGGCUCAACCUGGGAACUGCAUUCGAAACUGGCAGGCUUGAGUCUUGUAGAGGGGGGUAGAAUUCCAGGUGUAGCGGUGAAAUGCGUAGAGAUCUGGAGGAAUACCGGUGGCGAAGGCGGCCCCCUGGACAAAGACUGACGCUCAGGUGCGAAAGCGUGGGGAGCAAACAGGAUUAGAUACCCUGGUAGUCCACGCCGUAAACGAUGUCUACUUGGAGGUUGUGCCCUUGAGGCGUGGCUUCCGGAGCUAACGCGUUAAGUAGACCGCCUGGGGAGUACGGCCGCAAGGUUAAAACUCAAAUGAAUUGACGGGGGCCCGCACAAGCGGUGGAGCAUGUGGUUUAAUUCGAUGCAACGCGAAGAACCUUACCUGGUCUUGACAUCCACAGAAGAAUCCAGAGAUGGAUUUGUGCCUUCGGGAACUGUGAGACAGGUGCUGCAUGGCUGUCGUCAGCUCGUGUUGUGAAAUGUUGGGUUAAGUCCCGCAACGAGCGCAAC
rnacentral:rRNA from 1 species